AGCGAACGCUGGCGGCAGGCCUAACACAUGCAAGUCGAACGAACUCUUCGGGGUUGGUGGCGAACGGGUGAGUAACCCGUUGGAAAGUGCCCUGUGGUACGGAAUAACACAGGGAAAUUUGAGCUGAUAACGUAUGUGCCUUUCGGGGGGAAGCUGUGUCGCCAGUGGAGCGGGCCGCGUCUGUUUAGUUUGUUGGUAAGGUAAAGGCUAACAGAGGCUACGAGCAGUAGCGGGUUUGAGAGGGUGAACAGCGACAUUGGGACAGAGACACGGCCCGAACGCGUAGGAGAGGCAGCGGUGAUGAAACUAUCGCAAUGAGCGUGAUCCUGACGCAGCCAGUCGGCGAGAAUGAUCAAGGGCUUAUGAUCGUAAUACGCUAGCGACGAAGACUUUAAUGACGGUACCCAGAUAAGAAGCCCCGGCUAACUUCGUG
rnacentral:rRNA from 1 species